UUAGGGUGUGUCACUUUGA
rnacentral:siRNA from 1 species